UAUCCUUAGUUGCCAGCACAUAAUGGUGGGGACUCUAAGGAGACUGCCGGUGUCAAACCGGAGGAAGGCGGGGACGACGUCAAGUCAUCAUGGUCCUUACGCCCAGGGCUACAAACGUGCUACAAUGGUCGGUACAAUGAGCAGCAAAGCCGUGAGGUGGAGCAAAUCUCAAAAAGCCGGCCCCAGUUCGGAUUGAAGGCUGCAAUUCGCCUUCAUGAAGUCGGAAUCGCUAGUAAUCGCAGGUCAGCCAUACUGCGGUGAAUGUGUUC
rnacentral:rRNA from 1 species